rnacentral:lncRNA from 1 species
AUGAUUAGAUAAUUUAUAAUGUUUAGUCAAAAAUUGGUCAAUUUGACUCCUUCAAAACCAAAAUGGACAUGUAAAGGGGACGAAGGGAGUAGCACUCAGGAAUGGAUAACUACAACAUUUCUAGAAUUCAAGAAAUCCAGGAUAGGGCUAUUGCAAGAAGAAGAGCAGCUAAAUAACAUAUACUUAAAAUGAAAAUUCACAGAGAUUAAAAAGUAGUAUUUUGAGUUUUCAUCAGCAGAACGCAUCAAUAUCGCCAGCGUAAAUAGCAAUUUUUUGACUAAUAAGCAAUCCAGUACGUAGAGGCCGUAGUUUCCACAUACACAUAAACAUUGGGUUAUAUAUCAAACUAACCACCCAUUACAUCAAAAUGUCUCACUUUACCCACCCAUCUCAUCGGAGACUCGUUUAAGCCACUAUAAACCAAAUAUAUAUCAUUUUACUCACAUCCCUAUUUAUACCUAUUUACUUAAUCAUUUAUAAAAAAUCAACCGUUUGUUUUUUUACUACAAAACCACCUUGAGUACCUUCAUAAUUGUCUCUAUCAUUUAUCAAAAUAAUUUAAAAAUUUCCAAGGCAACAUACUUAGGGUGACCACAUAAAUAUAUAUAUUUAUUUCUAAAUAUUUUUUUUAAUAAAUAGCUAUGUUGCUUUAUUAAUUUCCAAAUUAUUUUGAUAAAUACUAGAGACAAUUAUGAAGGUACUAGAGGUGGUUUUGUAGCAAAAAAACAAAUGAUUAAUUUUUGAUAAAUGAUUAAAUAAAAAAGUAUGAAUAGUAUUGUGGGUAAAAUAAUAUAUAUUUUGUUUACGGUGGCUCAAACGAGUCCCCGAUGGGAUGGGUGGGUAAAGUGAGACAUUUUGACGUAAUGGGUGGCCAGUUUGAUAUAAAACCCCAUAAACAUUUCAGUUGCUACUACGAUUCUCUAAUAGCUUAUCACUCGCAUGAAUUUACACAGUGAAGUGAUAAAGUUAUCUUCCCUCUUGAUAUCCUGAAACAUAAGAGUCCCAUAUAUUUUUUUUU